rnacentral:lncRNA from 1 species
UACCUGAGGUGUGCUUUACUGAGCUUGCAGGCAUUUCUUACCCCACUGGAGUUGACAGUCACAAUUAAGCACCGCAAAGACAUAAUUGAAUUAAAAUGAGGUCACAGAGUGGGCCUUAAAUGAUCACAGCUGAAGUCCUUCCAAGAGAGAAAAUUUGGACUCAGAUACCAAGAGACAGAAGGUGAUGUAAAGCCACAGGGAGAAGAAAGCCGGCUGUCCUCGUGUCUCAUAUACGUUGAUUUUGGACAUCUGUCCUCCAGAAGUUCGGGAAAAUCAGCUUCUGCUGCUGAAGCCGUUCAGGUUGUGGAAGCUGGCUACAGUCACCCCGUACACUAGCACAGCCAUGGACUCAUCACCGUUGUGUUUUAAGUUGUCACCUAGAGAUGCAUGCGUGUCCAACACUUGUGAAGUGUGAUGACUUUCACAGGCAUCGGCUUCUGCUUUCUCGGUGGUUUGAACAUAAGAGCAUGUUCAGAUCUUAAUUCCCAGUAACCAAGGACAUGCCCUAACUUGGAAAUUGGGUCACUGCAGAUGUGAAUAGUUAACAUGAGGUCAUAUUAUAGUAGGGAGAGCCCUUAUUGCAGUCUGCGUGGUGUUCUAAGAAGAUAAUGUAAAGACAUGAGGGAGGGAUACUGUCUGACAAGGACCGAGGUGGGAGUGACACAGCCUUCAGCCAGGGAUGCCAAGGGUUCACCGUGCUCCCUAGAAGACAAGGUGGGGUGAGGAAGGGAAUCCGCCUGGAGUCGAUGGGGGAAUUGUGGCCCUGAUGACCACUUGAUCCUGCUGUACAACCUCCAGGGCUUUUCGUUUACACCGUCCACUCUAUUGGUGAAGCUUCAUAAUGGCUGCCCUGGGAGAGGACUCUUCUUUCUUCCCAGGGGAUCACUGGGAAGACACGAGUGCUCCCCUGGGCUAACCUGGAAGCAGUGGACACGGGCCUUUUUUUUUUUUUUUUUUAAACUGGCUUGCCAUACUUGCUCCAUCUCUUGGGGACAGUCCUACUCUCAGUUUCUGCUUGAAUAUCUGCUGUGUCACAUGUGAAGUGUCCCUAUUCCUGCAGGUCUUAACUCUGGCUAGCCCUAGUGAAGUACUGAAUUCCACAGGCUUCUGAAGGAGUUGGACUUCUGACAACAGAAGUGGCCCUCAGAGUGGCCCAGAGACUGAUUGUGGUUUCAUGCUGACCCAUGUGUAUACUCUUGUGUGUUCUUUCUUUCCUACUUGUGUUAUUUUGCUGUGUGUUUUUAAAUACCUCUGGUAACUCAGUCACGUCCAGACCCUUGGGUUCUUCCAUCCCAAAGGUGAAAUCAUAUAUCCUAUAGUUCAGAACAGGGCUUUAGGGCCAGACCAUGCUGGGUUCUCACAGUCCCCGACGCCCUCAGUGCUACUAUACUUUUCUCAGCACAUACUUCCUUGGCUAUAAGAUAAGGGACUGUCUCCGCACCUUCACCAGAGGGCAUGUUCAAAUCAUUCAUUGCAUGAUGUAAUCAGAAAGAAGCUGAUCUUAUCCAAUAGGUAUUGUGCCUCGGGCAACAGUAUACUAUCCACCUCUGAACAAGCAGAAAAUUGCGUGAGGUCUCUAUCUGCCCAGCAUGGUAUGGUCGGCUGCAGCCUCCACAUGCCCGGUCCCUCACCUUCCUACACUCCAGUAAGCGAGGCUCUGCCACAGAAACUGUUUUAUUUCCUGGCUCAAUAUCUUUUUGUUUGAGGGAGUCUUUAGCCAGCCAAUGUCAAAAUGUCCUUCAGCUUAUCUCUCUAGAGAGCCAGCUGGAUACCCAAGCUGGUGCCAGAGGGAAAAAGAACAAAUCUUUGCAGACCUGAGUUGAGUGUGGCUCUUGGUGGAGCCUCCUCUGCAUUCUUCCCAGAGUCUCAGCCUCAGUGAACCUGCAGUGAACCUGGAGUUGGUCCCCAACUGCCAGAGUGGCUGUGGUUGGCUUGUCCUCAGAGCUGAGCAUACCUAUGUGGAUUUGUCUGGUUGUGUUCCGUUUUGUGACCUGUAGCCUUCUCCAGUACCUGUGCAUAGAGACCUUUCACUUCAUACACUGGCCUGAAACCAUUUUAAAACUUGAUGCAGACGCUCCUCUCCCUCUUCCCCCACGCUUGCAUUUUAUACCUGUACAGCCGCCAUGAGAAAAGAUUCUUGGUUCUGAUGUUAGAAUCCCUCAUUCCUAGGUAGGACCUGCCAGUCACCUAUAUAGGAACAAAUCCAGGUUGUCAGACUUCCCAUAAAUCUUCUCUCUUGCAGCCUUUGCUUAAGAGACCCCGGUAGUUCUGCUUUUGUUUUUCCCAAAAGAUGCCAGAAGUUUUGCAUGAGG